UUAUAAAUUAUGAGAUGAAAUUCCAAUCCAAAUUGCAAGUGUCACUAUUUGAACGUUUCCGUUUAUUUGAAUGAUGUUCAAAUAAAAUGAAUAUAUAUUUCAGGUUCUAUAUGAAUCACCUGAAAGUUCGAAGCAGGCUACAUGCAACAAAUCUCUGAACAUCUAAAUUUGGGAUCCGAGGGCAUGAUCAGCAAGCAUCGACAACGCAUCGAAAUCAGCAGAGAGUAGUGGUGCAUUGCAGAUAAUCAGUACCAUCCAUGGAAAUUAUUGCACAGGGCACACGUCUACACAAAGGAGGAAAAGACACAAGGUUUUGCAGAUCAAAUAAGAAGGAUGUUGGGGAGUCAUUUUUGACAUGAAGUUUCCUGAAGCCAGCGAUGGUCAUGUCGCUGUUACGAACAUCGUCCUUUGGGGAUAUUUACCCACAAGAAACAUCUGCGAAGUACAUGCGCUUCGUGAAAGACUUGAAACUUAAGUUAUCUUAAGUAUGGAAGUAUGCUUCAAUUUGCUACACGACAGUUUGUAAUGUUUCAUGAAGAACUCUGACUCAUAAGUGACUUGAAUAUCCAUGAUCAUCCCAAACAAAUAUAAUAAAGAAUUCAU